rnacentral:rRNA from 1 species
GACGAACGCUGGCGGCGUGCUUAACACAUGCAAGUCGAACGGAAAGGCCCUGCUUUUGUGGGGUGCUCGAGUGGCGAACGGGUGAGUAACACGUGAGUAACCUGCCCUUGACUUUGGGAUAACUUCAGGAAACUGGGGCUAAUACCGGAUAGGAGCUCCUGCUGCAUGGUGGGGGUUGGAAAGUUUCGGCGGUUUGGGUUGGACUCGCGGCUUAUCAGCUUGUUGGUGGGGUAGUGGCUUACCAAGGCUUUGACGGGUAGCCGGCCUGAGAGGGUGACCGGCCACAUUGGGACUGAGAUACGGCCCAGACUCCUACGGGAGGCAGCAGUGGGGAAUAUUGCACAAUGGGCGGAAGCCGGAUGCAGCAACGCCGCGUGCGGGAUGACGGCCUUCGGGUUGUAAACCGCUUUCGCCUGUGACGAAGCGUGAGUGACGGUAAUGGGUAAAGAGACACCGGCUAACUACGU